GACGAACUGUGCAAACGUUAUUCGGAAUCACUGGGCUUAAAGGGUGCGUAGGCGGUCUUGUAAGUAGGGUGUGAAAGCCCCCGGCUCAACCGGGGAACUGCGUCCUAAACUGCGAGGCUAGAGUGAGGUAGGGGUGUGUGGAACUUCCAGUGGAGCGGUGAAAUGUGUUGAUAUUGGAAGGAACGCCGGUGGCGAAAGCGACACACUGGACCUUGUCUGACGCUGAGGCACGAAAGCCAGGGGAGCAAACGGG
rnacentral:rRNA from 2 species